GGGUUGUGAGGUUAAGCGACUAAGCGUACACGGUGGAUGCCCUGGCAGUCAGAGGCGAUGAAGGACGUGCUAAUCUGCGAUAAGCGCCGGUAAGGUGAUAUGAACCGUUAUAACCGGCGAUUUCCGAAUGGGGAAACCCAGUGUGACUCGUCACACUAUCAUUAACUGAAUCCAUAGGUUAAUGAGGCGAACCGGGGGAACUGAAACAUCUAAGUACCCCGAGGAAAAGAAAUCAACCGAGAUUCCCCCAGUAGCGGCGAGCGAACGGGGAGGAGCCCAGAGCCUGAAUCAGCAUGUGUGUUAGUGGAAGCGUCUGGAAAGGCGCGCGAUACAGGGUGACAGCCCCGUACACAAAAGCGCAUGUGCUGUGAGCUCGAUGAGUAGGGCGGGACACGUGGUAUCCUGUCUGAAUAUGGGGGGACCAUCCUCCAAGGCUAAAUACUCCUGACUGACCGAUAGUGAACCAGUACCGUGAGGGAAAGGCGAAAAGAACCCCGGCGAGGGGAGUGAAAAAGAACCUGAAACCGUGUACGUACAAGCAGUGGGAGCACAGGUUUACCUGUGUGACUGCGUACCUUUUGUAUAAUGGGUCAGCGACUUAUAUUCUGUAGCAAGGUUAACCGAAUAGGGGAGCCGGAGGGAAACCGAGUCUUAAUUGGGCGUUAAGUUGCAGGGUAUAGACCCGAAACCCGGUGAUCUAGCCAUGGGCAGGUUGAAGGUUGGGUAACACUAACUGGAGGACCGAACCGACUAAUGUUGAAAAAUUAGCGGAUGACCUGUGGCUGGGGGUGAAAGGCCAAUCAAACCGGGAGAUAGCUGGUUCUCCCCGAAAGCUAUUUAGGUAGCGCCUCGUGAAUUCAUCUCCGGGGGUAGAGCACUGUUUCGGCUAGGGGGCCAUCCCGGCUUACCAACCCGAUGCAAACUGCGAAUACCGGAGAAUGUUAUCACGGGAGACACACGGCGGGUGCUAACGUCCGUCGUGAAGAGGGAAACAACCCAGACCGCCAGCUAAGGUCCCAAAGUCAUGGUUAAGUGGGAAACGAUGUGGGAAGGCCCAGACAGCCAGGAUGUUGGCUUAGAAGCAGCCAUCAUUUAAAGAAAGCGUAAUAGCUCACUGGUCGAGUCGGCCUGCGCGGAAGAUGUAACGGGGCUAAACCAUG
rnacentral:rRNA from 2 species